rnacentral:misc_RNA from 1 species
CCCUUUUUCUUUCCAUUUUCAAGAAUAAUUUUUAAAAUGUACGUGCGAAAAUAAACUGUCAAAAGACAAGCAUUUGCACAUAUUAUACACACAAAGGAACUGUUUGAGCUCCUUAUGAGAGCUAAGAACAAGGGACACAGAUCAUUUUGAUUUUCAUUCCAAUUAAUCCCCAGGAUUCAUUUGACUCAUAAUUAGGAUUGUGUAAAUGAAGCUCCAAAACUGUUUAAGGCUAUGGAGAUUUCCCAACCUUAUCCUAUCGCGUUUCUUUGAUUGGAAACUGAAUGCCUCUUACUUCCAAGGAAGCUUAAAAGUGUCUUUCCACCAUCCCUGUUUUGAACAUUGAGCAAAUAUUCUGUCCAAUCGUACAAUGAUCUCAGAAAAGGUUGGCCUAGCAACAGGUUCUGGAUGCCAACAUUCGUCAAUCAACUCUUUUAGAUCUGGAGGACAACUUCUUGAUUUUGUCUUGAAUGACGGUCUCUGUUUCUCCAAACACAUCAAUUUCACAGCUUCUUCUGGAGAUUUAGGAUGGAAAGGCAGCACUCCCUCAAUCAUCUCAUAUAAAAUGACACCAAAAGAGUAUGCAUCCACACUUCUAUCAAAUAUUCCAUCUUUAUAAACCUCAGGUGCCACAUAAAUAUUUGAUGGGUCAAUGGGAGUUCCGGGUGCUACUUUAGCUUUGUCAGGUGAAAUCUUUAACAACUUUAUCAAACCAAACCCAGAUACCUUCAACUGACCACCAUUAUCCAGCAAAAUAUUUUUUGGCUUUAAAUCACAAUGGAUGAUGGAAUCUGGUUUGCAUUCAUGAAGAUAGUUCAUUCCCCUAGCGAUAUCAAGAGAAAAUCUCCAAAUUUUGGAUGGAGAAAGACGCCCCUUCUUCUGAAGAUAACUUGCGAAGUCACCUUUUGGAUGAUACUCUAAGACAAUCAUCAUGGGUAUAUUUUGGGUAACAGCCCCAACAAACUGAACCACAUUAGGAUGUCUGACCUUCUGUAAUAAGGUUAGCUCUUGUUUGAAAGCAUUUAUGCUCUCAGGGUCUGAAUAGCUGUCCUUAUCAAGUAUCUUUACAGUAACCUUGGUGCCAUUCCAUUUGGCCACUUGAUAUGAUCCCUUCGAGAUGCCAUCAGACUUCCGAACCUGCAGCUCUAAUGGAUUAAGCUCAUACUCUGGGACUUCUCGAGGAUUAGCAACAGCCAUUGGGGUCUUCCUGGUUUUCGGGAUUUGGGCUCCUCGAGCCUUCAAAACAUUGUAAAUUUCAACAUUUCCGUAGUACUUAGCAUCACCACAAGCCGUGCUCCCCCAGCGAUCACGAGCAUCGAUAUUAGCCUUUCUACUCAACAAAAGCUUAACAACCUCUAGAUGACCUUCACAAGCAGCAAUAUGCAAAGCAGUCCUCCCAUCCAAAUCAAUACUAUUAACAUCAAUUCCUUCAUUCAACAAAUCCUCAACGCCCUUCACAUCUCCUUUACUCGCCAUGAAAAGCAGUUGCAUCGUAGUAUCGAGAUUCUCCGGAACCGUAAACUUCUCAUCAUGGACAGGGCUCCUCCGAAUAGGAUCUAAUGACGACUGCCUCCCAAAGCUAAAUCUCAUAUUAUUCCUCCUGGGAUCGAGAGACUUCUGCCGAGAGAACUGCCGGCUAAAGGAUCUCCUCAGUGACCCGGUCGAGAACUGGCGGGAGAUUCCUCGCCUCAACUGCUUCGCUAUUCCUUCCAUUAAUUUGAUUGAUUUUAAUUAUAUUCUUAUGAUCUUUCCCCGUUCUUUCAAUUCGAGCAAAAAUCGAAAUUCUUUUUCCCUCUUGUUAUUAUUAAUUAUCGGAUAAAUCUUGUUUCCGAUUCGAAAUCGUUACAUACCAGCAGAUUGUUGUUUGCUCGAUGGAUCGAGAGCUUCUCUGGAGGCGAAUUGAGCUCUCAAUAUCGAGCGAUGGAAGGAUAGGGGAAGAAGAAAAUGAAAAGGGCAAAAAGAAAGGAUGAACGGAUGGUUUUUGAGAUCCGAGCGAA